UUUAGAGUUUGGAUCUGGCUCAGGACGAACGCUGGCGGCGUGCCUAAUACAUGCAAGUCGAGCGCGGGAAGCGAGUGGAUCCCUUCGGGGUGAAGCUCGUGGAACGAGCGGCGGACGGGUGAGUAACACGUGGGCAACCUGCCUGUAAGAUCGGAAUAACCCCGGGAAACCGGGGCUAAUGCCGGGUAAUACUUUCUUUCGCAUGAAGGAAAGUUGAAAGAUGGCUUCUCGCUAUCACUUACAGAUGGGCCCGCGGCGCAUUAGCUAGUUGGUGAGGUAACGGCUCACCAAGGCGACGAUGCGUAGCCGACCUGAGAGGGUGAUCGGCCACACUGGGACUGAGACACGGCCCAGACUCCUACGGGAGGCAGCAGUAGGGAAUCUUCCGCAAUGGACGAAAGUCUGACGGAGCAACGCCGCGUGAACGAUGAAGGUCUUCGGAUCGUAAAGUUCUGUUGUUAGGGAAGAACAAGUACCGUGCGAAUAGAGCGGUACCUUGACGGUACCUAACGAGGAAGCCCCGGCUAACUACGUGCCAGCAGCCGCGGUAAUACGUAGGGGGCAAGCGUUGUCCGGAAUUAUUGGGCGUAAAGCGCGCGCAGGCGGUUCCUUAAGUCUGAUGUGAAAGCCCACGGCUCAACCGUGGAGGGUCAUUGGAAACUGGGGAACUUGAGGACAGAAGAGGAGAGUGGAAUUCCACGUGUAGCGGUGAAAUGCGUAGAUAUGUGGAGGAACACCAGUGGCGAAGGCGACUCUCUGGUCUGUUUCUGACGCUGAGGUGCGAAAGCGUGGGUAGCAAACAGGAUUAGAUACCCUGGUAGUCCACGCCGUAAACGAUGAGUGCUAGGUGUUAGGGGGCUUCCACCCCUUAGUGCUGAAGUUAACGCAUUAAGCACUCCGCCUGGGGAGUACGGCCGCAAGGCUGAAACUCAAAGGAAUUGACGGGGGCCCGCACAAGCGGUGGAGCAUGUGGUUUAAUUCGAAGCAACGCGAAGAACCUUACCAGGUCUUGACAUCCUUGGACAAUCCUAGAGAUAGGACUUUCCCUUCGGGGACCAAGUGACAGGUGGGGCAUGGUUGUCGUCAGCUCGUGUCGAGAGAUGUUGGGUUAAUUUGCGCAACCACCGCAACUCCUAUGCGUAUUUGCCCGCUGGCAGUACCCCCCUUGUCAGGUUGCUGAUCGCUGUCUAAUCUUUCGAUAAUUGGGUGGUGACCUCCCCUUACACC
rnacentral:rRNA from 1 species